rnacentral:tRNA from 1 species
GGCCAGGUAGCUCGAUCGGUCACAGCAGCGGACUGAGAAUCCGCGUGUCGGCAGUUGGACUCUGCCCCUGGCCA